rnacentral:rRNA from 1 species
UGCGUAGGUGGUGUGGUAAGUCAGAUGUGAAAUCCCGGGGCUCAACCCCCGGAACUGCAUCCGAUACUGCCGCACUUGAGGACCGGAGAGGAGACUGGAAUUCUCGGUGUAGCAGUGAAAUGCGUAGAGAUCGAGAGGAACACUCGUGGCGAAAGCGAGUCUCUGGACGGAUCCUGACGCUGAGGCACGAAGGCCGGGGUAGCGAAAG